UCUUGUCCAACUUUGGCGUGCAAGGUCAGCUAUAAACUAGGGAAUCAACACAUGUUCUCUUUAAUUUACAAGGCUACAAGUUACACUCAAAGUGAAUACGACUCAAUUGUAUGAGAAAGGGGGCACCUGACCCACCCAAAGAGUUAUAUGUGUCCUAGUAGAAACUUCUAAACACAAACAUCAUCUGCAUAGUUUGCACUCCAUAGUACUAAACAAGAUUGACUUGUUGAAGGCUGGAGCAGAGCACCUGAAUCUGGCUUAGAAUGCACGUUCCGUCUGAGCACUGGUGGGCUAAUCCUUCCACAAGUGCAAUCACCUGAACAUAUAUUUGUUCAGGCUAUUAAAGACAUAAAAGAAGAACACAACUGGCAAGGACUCGAGAGCUAUAAAACCUUCUUUUUGCCAACAUACAUUACUUGAAAGGAAAGCAAUGGCGCUUCGGUUAUCAAGAAUGAGACGAGGAAGCGAGUAAAAAGGAAGAACAUAACCUACCACAAUUUUAAAAAUAAUACUAUGUGUUCUUUGGUGGAAACCAUUUGCACAAUGUUGGCAAAUGACUAUGAGCAAUAACAUUGAUAUGUAAAUAUCGUAUAAUUCAGCCCAACUAAAAGGCAUUGUCUUGUAGAAGUAUAUAUUGUCUAAUUAUUGGAUUAUAUGUGAUAUUGACGGAACCACAAAUGAUAGGUUGUGUGUGUGAAAUGGUCAAAAUUCAGAUUGUAUGACCAAGCAAUUUUUUAGUACUAGUUUCUAAGCCUUAAAGAUGACACUAAUGCAGAGUUAUUACUAAAGAAUUUAAAUAUUGUUGGAAGUUUGAGAUUCGGAAUUUAUACCUGUACAAUACAGAACUACAUCAGCAGGGUGAGAGGUCAACAAGGAACCAAUAUAGAAUUCAGCUCCUCCAAUUUCCUAGACGAACGUAUAUGGAAUACAAGAGAGUAGUUAUAACUACAUAACCAUGGAAUUAAGGAAAUGAUACAGAGAUUGCUAGAAGCAAACUACGGAUCCCUCAUUAGAAUAUCAUCAGAAGGUAAGCAAUUUAGCUCCUCUAGCAUUAUAUCCUUCAUUGUGAUAGCUCUCACCUUAUUGUUGUUGGCCCUAGCUUAGAAUGUUGUUGACACUUACUCAAACCAGAAAGCUGAUUUCUUCAAAAGAACUAAUUUGCAGGCAAUUGAGUGUGUGUUUCAAGGAGCCUUUGUUGCUGCGUGUGUACUGUAUGAGCACCUAGGUGCAUGUUAUUAUUGUUACAUGGUUCUCGUACCUGCAGAUGCUAAUGGGGCCCGCUCAUUACAAUUGGUCAUGGGAACCUUACGAACUGACAACGUGCUAUUAAAUUAGCUAGAAGUCAUUUGCAACCAAUGCUAUGAGAUAAACUGAUCAAAAUAAGAUAGAGCAUAGCUGAUUAACAGCACUUGCAUACUGGAAGUGGCGAGAAGUAAAACAUAUCUUGGAAUAGGAAAUGAGACUGGAAAUUAGGUAACAAAUAAGAAAACAACUUACAUGCUAUCGGCACAUGUCAUGCUCUGUAUUAUCUCAUUUCACUCCCGAAGCUAGCUGCAGAACAAUGAAAAAAAUAGAGAAAAGUAGAAGGAUGAGCAAUGCAGUCUAUAUCAUGACACAUAUAGUCUAAACCUCAGAUUAGGUUGCCCAAACAUAAUCUGAACUUUCGUUUGUCGCAUAUAGUUGAAAAUAUGCAAAUGAGGAGUGUAGACUUUACAAAAGUAUUGUCCUCACUAAAAUAAACGGUUAUAUGAAAUAAAUCAGUAAGAUUUAAUAGUACUCCUUUUCUUUCUAACCAUAACCAUGUUUAGCUGAAAGGUCUAUGCUAACAAUAUAAGCAUUAAUUUAGAGAAUAGCCGAAUGGCCAUGCGUUGUAGCAGUUUAAAAAGCAUAUUACUGUAGCAUGUCAACCUGCACACGCUGCCCAGCUUGCUAUAGUUGGUCCACGACAUGCCCUUGGCUCUACUGUGUAUCAAUCUGAGCUUUACCUCAACACCACAAACAGACAUGCUCAUGUUCAGCCUACAACAAUUAAAUUUUGGAAUUAAGAAAUGUGACAUUUUAGGGAAAAAAUAUCAUAGCCUACCAAACAUAAACUACAAUGUAUCAUAUCAACAUCAUCUGCCUUCCAGAAGCAUUUAAAAGCAACUCAAAUUGAAUUUUGGUGUUGGAUCUGAUUACCUGAGAUCAUCUGCAAUGACAUGGUAUGUAAUCAAGAAAGAUGGCAAUGUAAAAUAAAUUAUUAUUGAAUCUGACUUGAGAUAGUAGACUAACUUAGUGGCAUUUCAUCAAGGACUAUCAUUAAUCACGGAGUUCAUUAUCACAAAAAAGAGGGCCAAUUGUCUAUUAGAAUGCACAUGGGAGAAUAUAUUGAAGCAGAAAUAGAAUAUAGGGCUGCAUGUCUCAGUAAAAAAUAUAAUGUUGAAACAAUAUAUAAAUUAUGAACUUAUCAUAAUGUAGAAAAUAUGGAACAUAGCAUUACAUGAGGUAUUUUCAUGGAGAAAAAUGGGUACCCAUGUGAUAAUUCUAACUAACACGAUACUUUGAAAUUUCUGUCAUAUACUUAUUGACAUGAGCAUGGGAAUCAGAGCAUGUAAAUGUGGUGAACCACAAAUGAUAGGUUGUCUAUGUGAAAUGCUAAAAUUUCAGAUUGUAUGACCAAAAAAGUUUAUAUGUUGAAACCGGAAGCACGGCUUCUAGUUUAUAUGCUGUAGACACUGAACUUUGUAUCUACUACCCCUGACAAAGUUGCAUCCUUUGUAUCUACGAUCCAGAAAAAAAUAGCUUCCUUUCUGAGUAGAAAAAAGCAUAAAUUCUUCCAAUUCCAUGAGCCAGGGCAGCUGCACUCUUCCAAUUUGUCUCUACAAAACUGUUCCAGCUGGAGCGGGCCACCAUAUCAAAAAUGGAUUUAGAAGAGUGGCAAUACAAUCAGUGUAGAGCAGAACAACACACAAGUCAAGAUUUGGUGGAGAGGGGAAGGGACCAUACCAUGAAAACCAGAGGGAGGCCAAGGUCCGGUGUCUCGUCGAGGCAUCGGUCCAGCAGCUCGUCAAGGCGGAGGUCUUGCGGCUCGGCCACGACGUCCCAGUACAAAUUGCCUCUGUCUCCGCCACCGGCGUC
rnacentral:lncRNA from 1 species